GUUAGAAGAGACAAAGCCAAAGACUCAUACGGACUUCGGCUACACCAUCAAAUCUAUGAGAAGCAAGAAGAAGCUUGUUUAGUGUUUGAGAGUGAAAUUU
rnacentral:sRNA from 1 species